rnacentral:lncRNA from 1 species
AAUGCUUGUUAGUAUCCCACAUCACUCUGUGUUUAGAGAGUCCAAUUACACAUAUAACAGAUUCUUUGUGUUACACCAUAUCACCGCCUGUUUGCCUUUCAUUUGUCCUCUCUCUCUCUUUGGUUUUCUAUGCAUGCUGACACGUCAGACACGCAACCAGGAGCUGGCAGUGGCUCUGGACUCCAGCGCGCUCACAAACACUCAGCUCUCGUCCAAACUCGAGACACUGACGAAGCAGUCUCAGGAGCUUUCUGAUCAACUACAGAAGGUAUAGUAAGCUGCCAGCAGUGUUAUUAGAUUGCUCAUUUAUGGUUUAUUAAUGAGCGUCUUCUCUUAUUGUGCAUUAUGUCUUCUCAUCAGGAGCGGAAAGAGUUUGAGCAGAAGUUCACUAAGGAGCAGGGAGCGAUGCGUGAACAGCUACAGGUUCACAUUCAGACCAUCGGCAUCCUGGUGUCUGAGAAAUCAGAGCUACAGACGGCUCUGUCUUACACACAGCAGGCAGCGCGACACAAGACAGGUGUGUGUGAGCUUGAGUGUGAGAGAGAGAGAGAGAGAGAGUGUGUGUGUGUGUGUGUGUGAGAGCGCGCGUGUGUAGAGAGAGAGAGAGUGUGUGUGUGUGUGUGUGUGUGAGAGAGAGAGAGAGAGAGUGUGUGUGUGUGUGAGAGCGCGCGUGUGUGCGCGUGUGUGAGAGCGCGCGUGUGUGCGCGUGUGUGAGAGCGCGCGUGUGUGUGAGAGAGCGCGUAUGUGUGAGAGAGCGCGUGUGUGUGAGAGAGCGCGUGUGUGUGUGAGAGCGCGCGUGUGUGUGUGAGAGCGCGCGCGUGUGUGUGAGAGCGCGCGUGUGUGUGAGAGCGCGCGUGUGUGUGAGAGAGCGCGUGUGUGUGAGAGAGCGCGUGUG